rnacentral:lncRNA from 10 species
GCAAUGGGGAAGAGAUUAUUGUAAAUAAUAAAAGGAGAACAAUCAUUAAUCAGCUGUGCACAUUUCUGCUUUUGAAAAAUAUGAACGCAAGAAAGGAGAGAAACACUGAAAAACAUGAGAUCGAUCUGAAAAACAAGUAUGGUUUACACGCGUGGAAUCACCUUGUCUUCCGUGACUGUGACAAUCGUUCACAUAAACAUCUUCACGUUACUGUAAGAGGUGAAAUGGUGCACAGCACAUUGAAAAUUUUAAUGAAGACCAAAAUAUUUCCCUUAAAAAUGACAUCAUAAAGCAACAAAAUUGCCUUUUUUUUUUUUUUGAGACGGCGUCUGGCUCAGUCGCCCAGGCUGGAGUGCAGUUGGGCGAUCUCGGCUCACUGCAAGCUCCACCUCCCGGGUUCACGCCAUUCUCCUGCCUCAGCCUCCUGAGUAGCUGGGACUACAGGCACCUGCAACCACGCCCAGCUAAUUUUUUGUAUUUUUAGUAGAGACGGGGUUUCACCGUGUUAGCCAGGAUGGUCUCGAUCUCCUGACCUUGUGAUCUGCCCGCCUCGGCCUCCCAAAGUGCUGGGAUUACAGGCGUGAGCCACCGCGCCCGGCCAAAAUUGCCUUAUUUUGAUUAACAUAUUCAAUUGCCUGAAAUUAAUUUUUUUGAAGGAUCUUCAACUGUGACGAUGUUUUCUUGUGCCUCUGUGGCUUUACCGUACUGUCUCUUCACCCCAAGCAGUUCAUAGUUAUAUCAUUUCCUGAAGUCUUUCUGGAGCCCACAGAAAUGUAGGUCUCUCCAUCUACCGGGCUCCCACUGCACUCUGCAGGAGCAUUUCUUGUGCAGCUCUCAUCCCAAGAUUCCCCACGUGUGUUUAUGUGUCAGCCUCCUCUCUUAGAACACAGCCAGCUAGUUAUCAACUGUCGUUCCGGAGCCUGGCAUAUGAGACGCAUUCUCACUGAGAAGAAUGAAUGACUUAGCCAGUCCCUGCUGGUUGCACUGCAUCUUACUGCCUUACUCCAUUUAUUUACUGCAUGAGUCUGUAGCUAGAGAAAUAUAAAUGAAGUAAUGAGUGAAGGCAUCCAGCUGAUCGAUAAAUGUAUUGUGGUGAACGUGAGGCUCCCUCAAGCAGUCUUAGAACAGUACGUCCAUAGCAGGUUUGGCUUUCAGCAUCAACGAGUCCAUAGGUCAGGUGCAAAAUCAGCUAUUACCCUGGGCCGUACAAGGAGCCUCUCAGUCUGCACAGUUUAUUCACAGUGAGGAAAGGUAUAGCUAUUAGAGAGCAUUUUGUCAUUGUUCACUGAUGUGUCCACUUAUGUUGGCUUAUUUUAAAAAAUAAAUUGGUUGCUGUCUUGAGUAUCUUCCAUUAAUCAAGUUACCAACACAGGAUUUGAAAACAUUUUCUUUAACAGCUCUCAGUCUUACUCCCAGACAUGAGUAGAGCCAUGACAAUUCUAAUAUUUAAAAUUAUUUGAUGUUUUCACUUUAAUUGCACAGAUUAGGUCCUCAUGGUAGGUUAAUCCCACGCUUUGCCAAAGAUUAUCGUAUCUUUACUCACAUCCCCUUCCUCAUGUGUCCUUUCCACUUAUUAUCAUUCUUUGGGUUUUUCUGUCACCUCACCCCUGUCAUACAUUCACAC